UGGGGGAAGAAUGAACAGUGUGAGAAUGUUAUUAAAAGUAAAUCAUGAAACAUUAAUAACACAAAUUAUUUAAAUGGACAUUUUACUUAGUACAACAAAAGUCAUUAAAGUAUUAGAAAAGUUCCAAAAGCUAGCAAACAUUGAAUACCUCUUUUUGGAAUAAUGUUUUAAAGAUAAGUCUAGAUGAAAAUCUAUUUCGUGCAAUCUUAAUGGAAAAAUGCAGGUAUCAUAUUUAGUGCUCAGUCAGCCAUAGCCCAGUGCUGUGCUUAUAAAUAUCACCGAAUUACAACAAGUUCUAAGUUCAGCCACAGUUACACUGCUAUUAAUCCCCACGGAGUGAAGCACUGUGACUAAGAGCCUUUCACCAUUAGUACGGUCACAAACAGAAACGCCAUCUCUGGCAAGCAGAGGCUAGGUCCAGAGUGGGGCAAAGUGUCGUUGGACUGCGAAGAAUGUGGCAUAAAGGGGAAAGCUAUUUAAGGCCUAGCCUUCCCAUCCUUUCUCUGCAGGACAGAGCAUUCUCACAGGGGCGGGAGACCCAGGGCCCAUAUAUAACUCGGCUGCUGUGGAGGAACGGAACUGACUGUGUGGCAGACCUACCGGUAUAAGCUUCAGACUCUGCAACAAGUCGGGCAUUUGGAAAUGAGCCAUAGAUCUCAGAAGAACUCCGGACAUUUGGAAGAAUUUUCAUUGGAAUUUCAAAAAAUCUGAAAAACAUUAAGAUACACAUCUGGUAACACUUAUAUGUAUUUAAAGGCAAAAAAUGUAAAUAACAAUUAGAAAAUGGAUAUAUUUGAGUAUAGAGUUAAAUAGUAACAAAUAAAUAAGCCAGCAGAA